GAUGAACGCUGGCGGCGUGCCUAAUACAUGCAAGUCGAGCGAACAGAUAAGGAGCUUGCUCCUUUGACGUUAGCGGCGGACGGGUGAGUAACACGUGGGUAACCUACCUAUAAGACUGGGAUAACUUCGGGAAGCCGGAGCUAAUACCGGAUAACAUUUGGAACCGCAUGGUUCUAAAGUGAAAGAUGGUUUUGCUAUCACUUAUAGAUGGACCCGCGCCGUAUUAGCUAGUUGGUAAGGUAACGGCUUACCAAGGCAACGAUACGUAGCCGACCUGAGAGGGUGAUCGGCCACACUGGAACUGAGACACGGUCCAGACUCCUACGGGAGGCAGCAGUAGGGAAUCUUCCGCAAUGGGCGAAAGCCUGACGGAGCAACGCCGCGUGAGUGAUGAAGGGUUUCGGCUCGUAAAACUCUGUUAUUAGGGAAGAACAAACGUGUAAGUAACUGUGCACGUCUUGACGGCACCUAAUCAGAAAGCCACGGCUAACUACGUG
rnacentral:rRNA from 1 species